rnacentral:rRNA from 1 species
CUACGGGGGGCAGCAGUGGGGAAUAUUGCACAAUGGACGAAAGUCUGAUGCAGCAACGCCGCGUGGAGGAUGACACAUUUCGGUGCGUAAACUCCUUUUAUAUAAGAAGAUAAUGACGGUACUAUAUGAAUAAGCACCGGCUAACUCCGUGCCAGCAGCCGCGGUAAUACGGAGGGUGCAAGCGUUACUCGGAAUCACUGGGCGUAAAGAGCGUGUAGGCGGGCUAAUAAGUUGGAAGUGAAAUCCUAUGGCUCAACCAUAGAACUGCUUCCAAAACUGUUAACCUAGAAUAUGGGAGAGGUAGAUGGAAUUUCUGGUGUAGGGGUAAAAUCCGUAGAGAUCAGAAGGAAUACCGAUAGCGAAGGCGAUCUACUGGAACAUUAUUGACGCUGAGACGCGAAAGCGUGGGGAGCAAACAGGAUUAGAUACCCGGGUAGUC